UUUUGGGCCUCAGAUAUCCUAUUGCUGAAGGACAGCCUUACGGACAGAUGAUCUAUAAAUGCAGCCUCAGUCCUAUUGCGAGUCUCAAUGAAGCCAGACACAUCGAAUUUACAGACAACAAAUGAUGCACACCACCAUCCAAAACUCACUUAUGAAUGAGGAGAAGAUGGAUCCACAGAAGGAUCAAGAGAGUUCAAGGUAAAGCCAAGCAAGGAGAAGGCAGUGGCCAUAGUGUCUGGGAAGGAAGAAAGGAGACCAUCUGAUCUCUCCCAUCAGCCUGGUAACUUUGAAGGAACUCCUUUAUUAGAACUUCCUCUUGUCAACAGACAGUUUGCUGGAAGGAUUUCAGCUUCACUCCAACAAACAAGAAGUUUGAACAAAACAAUUACACCUUGGAUAUACACCUGAUUCACAAGCAGCCUUCCUGCUCCAGGAUAUGUUCUUGUUUUGCCUAUAUGGUAUUUUUGUUGUUCUGCAUAGGCAUACCUGUGAGCAGUAUUUUUAAGCACAUGGAGAGUAGGGAUUCAUUGCCAAAAAACCUGAGGAGCAAGUGAAAAGGUAUUGUAGGAGUUGUAUCAGAGAAGACACGCUGCCAUCCUCAGAGGCUGCCAAUAGAUUUGGUGUUUUUAGGCCAGUUUGGUAUAAUUCCACACAAAAUCACAGGUUUCUUUCCCGAUUAUUUUGCUUAAGUCUUUUCCUCUGAAAAUUGGAUCAUCAUCCUUUCAAAAUCACAGU